UACGAAGGGUGCUAGCGUUGUUCGGAAUUACUGGGCGUAAAGCGCGCGUAGGCGGCUUAACAAGUCAGGGGUGAAAUCCCACGGCUCAACCGUGGAAUUGCCUUUGAAACUGUUAAGCUUGAGUGUCGGAGGGGAUAGCGGAAUUGCUAAUGUAGAGGUGAAAUUCGUAGAUAUUAGCAGGAACACCGGUGGCGAAGGCGGCUAUCUGGACGACAACUGACGCUGAGGCGCGAAAGCGUGGGGAUCAAACAGG
rnacentral:rRNA from 1 species